rnacentral:tRNA from 1 species
UAACUUAAUUGGUAGAGUACCAGCCUUCUAAGCUGAUAAAUCUUGGUUCGAAUCCAAG